CAAAUUUUGAUAGAAAAUACUUUAAACUAUCUAGAUUAAGGUUAACAUUCUUAAUCUUGAAUUUAAAAGUUCUAUCUUCAAAUUUUAAAGAUUAUUCAAUUUUCACCGUCAAUUUUGACAUAAUUUAUUUACUAAAUAAACGAUGUCGAAAAAAACUAAAUUUUAUUCCUAAGAACUUCAUAUACCCUAGAUCAUAUUUAACGGUGUGGAUCGUUAAUUUGAACACCCUAAGAUCGAAAACAAGACUAUAGUACCGGAGCUCCGAUACUAUAGAUAGUAUAGGAGCCUAAUUUUUUAU
rnacentral:lncRNA from 1 species